rnacentral:rRNA from 1 species
AGUGAACGCUGGCGGUAGGCCUAACACAUGCAAGUCGAACGGCAGCACAGUAAGAGCUUGCUCUUACGGGUGGCGAGUGGCGGACGGGUGAGGAAUACAUCGGAAUCUACUUUUUCGUGGGGGAUAACGUAGGGAAACUUACGCUAAUACCGCAUACGACCUGCGGGUGAAAGCAGGGGAUCUUCGGACCUUGCGCGAUUGAAUGAGCCGAUGUCGGAUUAGCUAGUUGGCGGGGUAAAGGCCCACCAAGGCGACGAUCCGUAGCUGGUCUGAGAGGAUGAUCAGCCACACUGGAACUGAGACACGGUCCAGACUCCUACGGGAGGCAGCAGUGAGGAAUAUUGGACAAUGGGCGCAAGCCUGAUCCAGCCAUACCGCGUGGGUGAAGAAGGCCUUCGGGUUGUAAAGCCCUUUUGUUGGGAAAGAAAAGCAGCAGGUUAAUACCCCGCUGUUCUGACGGUACCCAAAGAAUAAGCACCGGCUAACUUCGUG